rnacentral:rRNA from 1 species
AUUGAACGCUGGCGGCAGGCCUAACACAUGCAAGUCGAGCGGAUGAAGGGAGCUUGCUCCUGGAUUCAGCGGCGGACGGGUGAGUAAUGCCUAGGAAUCUGCCUGGUAGUGGGGGAUAACGUCCGGAAACGGGCGCUAAUACCGCAUACGUCCUGAGGGAGAAAGUGGGGGAUCUUCGGACCUCACGCUAUCAGAUGAGCCUAGGUCGGAUUAGCUAGUUGGUGGGGUAAAGGCCUACCAAGGCGACGAUCCGUAACUGGUCUGAGAGGAUGAUCAGUCACACUGGAACUGAGACACGGUCCAGACGCCUACGGGAGGCAGCAGUGGGGAAUAGUGGACAAUGGGCGAAAGCCUGAUCCAGCCAUGCCGCGUGUGUGAAGAAGGUCUUCGGAUUGUAAAGCACUUUAAGUUGGGAGGAAGGGCAGUAAGUUAAUACCUUGCUGUUUUGACGUUACCAACAGAAUAAGCACCGGCUAACUUCGUG